CGGACGGGUGAGUAAUGCUUGGGAAUCUGGCUUAUGGAGGGGGAUAACUACGGGAAACUGUAGCUAAUACCGCGUAGUAUCGGAAGAUGAAAGUGUGGGACCGCAAGGCCACAUGCCAUAAGAUGAGCCCAAGUGGGAUUAGGUAGUUGGUUAGGUAAAGGCUGACCAAGCCGACGAUCUCUAGCUGGUCUGAGAGGAUGACCAGCCACACUGGAACUGAGACACGGUCCAGACUCCUACGGGAGGCAGCAGUGGGGAAUGUUGCACAAUGGGGGGAACCCUGAUGCAGCCAUGCCGCGUGAAUGAAGAAGGCCUUCGGGUUGUAAAGUUCUUUCGGUGAUGAGGAAGGUGUUUGUUUUAAUAGAACAAGCAAUUGACGUUAGUCACAGAAGAAGCACCGGCUAACUCCGUGCCAGCAGCCGCGGUAAUACGGAGGGUGCGAGCGUUAAUCGGAAUAACUGGGCGUAAAGGGCACGCAGGCGGUGACUUAAGUGAGAUGUGAAAGCCCCGAGCUUAACUUGGGAAUUGCAUUUCAUACUGGGUCGCUAGAGUACUUUAAGGAGGGGU
rnacentral:rRNA from 1 species